rnacentral:rRNA from 1 species
UACGGGGGGGGCAAGCGUUGUUCGGAAUUACUGGGCGUAAAGGGCUCGUAGGCGGCCAACUAAGUCCGACGUGAAAUCCCAAAGCUUAACUUUGGAACUGCGUCGGAUACUGGAUGGCUUGAAUUCGGGAGAGGGAUGCAGAAUUCCAGGUGUAGCGGUGAAAUGCGUAGAUAUCUGGAGGAAUACCGGUGGCGGAGGCGGCAUCCUGGACCGACAUUGACGCUGAGGAGCGAAAGCUAGGGGAGCAAACGGG